rnacentral:rRNA from 1 species
AUUGAACGCUGGCGGCAUGCUUUACACAUGCAAGUCGAACGGUAACAGGCCGCAAGGUGCUGACGAGUGGCGAACGGGUGAGUAAUGCAUCGGAACGUGCCCAGUCGUGGGGGAUAACGCAGCGAAAGCUGCGCUAAUACCGCAUACGAUCUCUGGAUGAAAGCGGGGGACCGAAAGGCCUCGCGCGAUUGGAGCGGCCGAUGUCAGAUUAGGUAGUUGGUGGGGUAAAGGCCCACCAAGCCAACGAUCUGUAGCUGGUCUGAGAGGACGACCAGCCACACUGGGACUGAGACACGGCCCAGACUCCUACGGGAGGCAGCAGUGGGGAAUUUUGGACAAUGGGCGCAAGCCUGAUCCAGCAAUGCCGCGUGCAGGAUGAAGGCCUUCGGGUUGUAAACUGCUUUUGUACGGAGCGAAAAGGCUCUCUCUAAUACAGGGGGCUCAUGACGGUACCGUAAGAAUAAGCACCGGCUAACUACGUGCCAGCCGCCGCAGUAAUAC